AGAGAGAGAGAGAGACAGACAGACAGACAGAGAGAGAUAGAGACAGAGAGAGACGGAGAGAGAGACAAAGAAUUAUCAAAAUUACCUGAUUGGAGCCAAGCAGAGGAGACGUUCUUCGCGGGAGAGACAAGGGAUUUUUGUUUAGGGUUUCAAAUUGGUUUUAAUCGGGUCUUCAAUCAGGUUUAUUAGACCCAAUUGAAUUAGGUUCAUUUAAUCCGAUUUAUUUUCUCUAAUCGGGUCAUUUAUGGUUUAGUUAAGUUAAACAUUGGUUAAGUUCAGGUUUAGGUAACACUAACCAACUUUAAACCGCUAUUUGUUGGUAUCAGUUCGUCCUUUAAAUUUUAGGUAGAAACGGGUUUCAAACUAUUAUCGUGUGUGGAAAUUGGUUGUGAUAGUUAUAAGGUGUGCAAUUACGACGAGGUUGAAAGAUUGUGUACAUUUGUUACUAUAUGAUAGUUCUGGUGUGGAAAUACGUCGUCUUCCCAAAAAUACCCAUUGAUUUUGUUUCCAUGUUUUUGUUUUAUUUUCUUGACUGUAGGACCGACCAAUUUAUAUAAGUUAAACAAUUUGGAAUCACAACAAUGUAAUACCUAAGCUAUUCAUUUUAUCUAAUAUUUAUUUGACAAAAAAAAAUAUAAUAUUUAUAUUAUUUAUUAUUAACCAGAAAGGCAUGAUUAUACUUUUUAAAAGAACUUUGAAAUUUAAUUAGUUGAAUGGAAACUCGACUGAUAGUUCGAUUGGAAUCAUAAUCUUUUUAAAACGCAUUAGAAAUAAUUUUUGAAAAUGUUAUUUUGAAAACGCGAUGGAUACUAACGUUUUUAUCUUAAAUACUCGCUAUCAUAUUUUAAAAACGUGAAUUUUUUUUAUUUUUAUUUUAAAAAUAUGUAAAUAAUUAAGGGUGAUUUUUCUCAAUAUUCAUAAGAGCUAAAAAAAUUAAGAAUAUAGCCAUUGAAUAGUUGAUGUGACAAUUAGAGCCAAAAACUUGACAUUUUUCUCCUUCCACUCUAGUACGCGUGAGUAUAUGCGCGUCACAUUGUGUGGCAAACAUAACUGAAAUAUACUAUAUUAUAAACCAUAUAAUAUAGUCGAAGUAUUAAUACAAAUAUACAUGGUGAAAAGAGAAACAUGUUACAAACGUUAACAAAAAUACCACACCAGCAAUAAUAUUCUAGAUUAUACAAUAUACAAGUUAGUCAAAGCAGAAACACACCAAAGCAUCUACCAAAUUUCUUAUGCUACCAGUCAUAAUAGAAUGAAACCAAAAAACUAAAAUUUAGUUUAUCUUCUUAGAUCAUUUUGUAAGUAAUAGCAGUAAAAGUGAAGGUAUAAAUAAGAGCGGCGGAUGAAGAUAUGUCGUUGUUGCUACGUAAAGUAAAAGAGAAGAAUAUGUGGUGGGGGGAUGAAAAGAACCUACACUGGAGGUGGAAUAGAUGACAAGUGGUGACAAUGGUCGAAGAGAAGAUGGCGGCAGCGACAAAACAAUCAUUAAUAGUGAUGGUAACAAUAAUAGAAUCGAGGUGAAUGAAGAAGAAAAACAAAAAAAAAAAGAAAAGAAAAAAAGAGUGAGUUAGAUAUGAUGUUGCACAAUUUGGGAUAUAGAAUAACCCAAAGCGGGACAGAAGGUUAGCCGAUACUAUACUAUAAAAGUAUGUAUUAUAGUAUUUACUAACGUAAACAAAACAUCUUACCUACUUAAUUCACUGGGGUACAUAAAUGACGCUGCCAUUGUGUCAUAUAGGGUGGUCGAAUGUGUUAUCUUCCGACGGAAGAAACACAAGAAACUACUUCGAACCGUAAGGAGAUCAUAAUUGUGGAAUUUAGUAUAGCAUACCCAUAUAUAAGCUAGUUGUUGCGUAAGCAGUUGAAAGUUAUUCUAUACUAUCAAUAAUAGUAUAGAAAUGACCCAACUGGUAUAUAAUACAUAUGAAACCUGAUAUUAGGUAUGGUGUCCGAAUAAAUAUGAGAAAAAAAGACAAAAACAUUUAUGUAGAAGUCUAGUUUGGCUGCUGAAAAGCAUAAGUUUGACGUCCAAUAGGAAGAUGAAUAAAAACACUGUUAUAAAUGAAUGUCAAUUGAUAAACAAGUCGUUAGCGUUGUACUUAACCGUACAUAACUUCCGAAAUAAUACACAAAUUGAGAUGCACACCACAGUAAAAAUGGAGAUAUUAGUAGCAAAGCUUAGUAAAAACGAAAACCUAUAAGUAGCAUAUGAGUAGAGAAAACUCUAAGGGGUUCCAUCCAACAUAUAAUUACGGGAGUUGGUCUGGGUGAAGGCCGAGAAGGCUGCAACUGUAUGUCUUCGCUACAACUACAAGUGACGCAUAAUGAGUUUUCACACCAUCAAAGACAAUCAUGGAAGCGCAUAUGUAUAUAAAUCACACUAUACUAUCAUGUCAGAUGGUAUAGUACAUGACUGAUUCAAACAAAACAAACAACACAACUAUGCCAUUACAGAUUUAUAAUAACAUUAAUGAACAACCCAUGUAAACAUAUGUUCAUUUGAACAAAAAAAAUAACAAUAAAACCAUUCAUGUUUUACAGUUUAGGCAGGACAUUCAAGACUUACAUAACAACAUGCAUGAAUGCAUGCAUAUAGAGAUAUGAUUAUGUAACAUAUUGAAAUCAUAUGUCACUUUCCAACAUACUUGAAAUGGAUAUUACAGACACUAUUGUGUUACAUCUACCCUUACCAUAAAUAUAGUCACAACACAAAAUUUUCUAAUAGACUCCUACAUUUCACACAUAGGCUAAUGCCCUUGCACAUCAAAUAACACAAUAAUGAAAGUACAAAUGAAUAUAGUUCGAAACUCACCUAAACAUAAAACCUAUUUCAAAUGUUACCGGAUAACUAUACUAUUUAAUUUAUUCAUAUAGUAUAGGCAUCUCUUACAAAUCACUAUUCAUUGUCUCCCCCACAACCCAAUCCCACAACCAUAUGUUCUCCAUCAGAUGUUUCAAUAGACAGUUUUACACUUGGCUAGUUCCCGGGAAAUCGGCUAAUUCCUACAUCAACAAGGAUCAACGGUCCCGAUCAGUACAUAAACAUGUUACCUGUGCGAAAACAUACAUCAACUAGUACAAAAUUUAAUUUUCAUACAUGAACUUUCAAAAUUUGGUUUUAUCAUACAUUGACCUAAUUUCCGUUAGUCAAACGUUGAGUUGUCGUUAACCGGUAAUAGAAAACCGGCUAAUUCCUACAACAACAGGGACCAAUGAUACAUAUCAAUACAUAAACACUUUACUUGUGCAAAAACAUACAUCAACUAAUACAAAAUUCAAAUUCAAUACAUGAACUUUUGAAAUCUGGUUUUAACAUACGCUAAAGCUUGAUAUUUACCUAACUUCAACUAGUCAAAUAAUAUCGAAGAUAAAUUGUCCGUCACGUAUUGAUUAAGUAAGGUUUUUAAUGUAUUAUGUGGUAAUUAAACUGUAUUACGCGGUAAUUGAAUGAGAAAAAUAAAUCAUGUAUGUCAAACGAUUUUUUUUGUGUGUAAUUUAUUAGUUAGUUUUUCUCUUUAAUUUUUUCUUCAACUUUUACGACAACAGAAAACACUAACACCAAAAAAAUGAAAGAAGACAAAAUUGAACAAAGAGAAAAGAGAAUUUCUUCGAUAAGCUAAACAUUUUCAUUUCUCUCUGUCAAUUACUACGUACUAUGGUUUAAUUAUCACAUAAUACAAUAAAAAACUUUACUUAAUCAAUACAUGACAUACCAUUUAUUUUCGGUAUUAUUUGACUAGUGGAAAUUAGGUAAAUCUAUUUUAUUAAAUUUAAUUACAAAAUAAAACUAACACUAUUUUCAACAGAUUUAUUACAUCUUUUCUUUCCUUAUUUUCACUCAACUUAACUACUUUAUUAAUUGCAUUUUUUUCAAAUAAUUUGACAGCAUGUCUUAUAAAAAUAUAAAACAGAACUUACCUAUUUUUAAGUGUUUUAUUAUAUCUUUUACAUUUUUUUAUACUUCUUAACUACUUCAUUAAGAUAUGGAUAUCAAGUAUACGGUUGGGUAUGGAUUGGUUCUUUCGGAUAUCAAAUUUUUUUAGGUUUUAAAAUUAUGCUUUGUUCGGGUAUUAUAAAAUUUUGGGUGAGAUUCGAAUAGGGUCUUUCAGAUCCGGAUGGCUUUGGUUUUUAUGUAUAGGAACAUAAUAAUUAACAAAAAUUUAUAUAUUUAGGAAUGUCACUAAACAAUUUAUAAAAAAAUUAACAACAAAUAUCCGCACGGACGCGCAUGUCAAGCUUUAGUGUAUGUUAAAAACAGAUUUCGAAAGUUCAUGUAUUGAAUUUAAAUUUUGUAUUAGUUGAUGUAUGUUUUUGUACAGGUGAAGUGUUUAUGUAUUAAUCUGGACCAUUGAUCACUGUUGAUGUAGGAAUUAGCCGAUUUUCUGUUACUGGUUAACGACAGCUCAACGUUUGACUAACGGAAAUUAAGUCAAUGUAUGAUAAAACUAAAUUUUGAAAGUUUGCGUAUGAAAAUUAAACUUUCUAGUAGUUGAUGUAUGUUUUCGCACAGGUAACAUGUUUAUGUACUGAUCGGGACCGUUGGUCCUUGUUGAUGUAGGAAUUGGCCGAUUUCCCGCUAGUUCCCCUUUUCAUGCUAAAAUAUUCAACUCAUGCAUGUAGUUCCCCAAUUUUACAUUUUUCCUCUUCCUCUGUUACUCCCUUCACACCGGAACAACGGCUACAAUUUAAUUGCAAAUCUGGAUUCAUCAGAAACUAAUGAUUUGUCAACUUAUCUGCAACCCUAACUUUUUGAUUGCCGCCUCACAAAGCUCGGAAACACUGUUUUGCGAUUCGUAACCACUUCUUACACACUCUAUUGCAAUUUCAAAAUUCUGUUUUUUUAUCUCGCAUGCUUGUGUUUUAACAGAAAAACUGCAUUUUUAGUUUCCUAGUUAAACAAAAAAACCAAACUAUCUACUUUGCACGCGUAAAUAAGGAUAUUUUCGGAUAAUUACAAAACAUUAUAUAAUAUAUAAUAGCCAUGUCGAUUCUUAUGGUUAUACACUUAAUUUUUUGUUUUUUUAUGGUCAUGCCCCCUAAUUUCUCAAUAAUUAAUAAAUAUAGAAAAAUAUUUUUUAUUUUGAUAAGUUUUAUGGAAUGAUAACAUUGUUGGUCUUUUUUACUCUUUGAUAAAAAGUAUAUAAAUUACAAAGAGAAACAAUACUUUUUAUUAAUGGGCUUCUCUCUUAGAUAAACUAUAUAGAAAAUAAUAAUAAUAAUUCAUAUAUUAAUCAAUUGUGUGUGUGUGUAUAUAUAGAUGUUUCUAAAAUGUUUCUGUUUGUUUUUCUUAAAAAAAAUAAAUAUCACGUUUUUACAUUUGGAAAUGUUUUCUUUCCGUAUAUUUAUUUUCGAUUUCCUGAAACCUAACUUACAACUUAGUGGCAUCCAGAUGGAUUCUAUAGAAACAUAUAUUAUGUUUUUUCCGUCAAACAAAAAUUGAAUAAUAUAAAUGUUAUUAUGUCGUUGUCUAUCCAAAGUAGGAUUCUACACCAAUUCCUUAUAUAAUUGUGGGGACCGAAGUUAAUAAACCUUGGUUUCAAGGAAAAGUCGUUACACCAUUGGGAAAAGAUCUUUAUCGGUCUGUCUCUGACACUUCCUCUUGUGGUGGAAAAUCACAGCACGUGUUGUUAGCACUCACGAUCUAAUAAAUUAUUGGCCAUAUAUAUACAAAUAAAUCUAAAGUUGAUAAAAUCAAUUCAAUAAUUAUAUAGUGACAUGAUUGUCAUUUUUCUAACAGUCACAUGCUAAGAUGAUGAGAUUUAAGUAGAUCUAAUAAGUUUUUUUUUUUGUCGAUGUAUAUCUAAUCUAUUAAAAUAGAGUCCUAUCUGAAAUUAUCUUGGCAUGUUUUAAGUUUGGGCCUAUUAAACAAUAUUGUGCAAAAUGUAGCAUGUUUUAUAUAUAUUUAUUUGAUGACCGAUAUAUUUACAUUAAACAAACCUUAAUCAUUGGAUUAAUAUUAAAAUCUAUCCAGCAUCUAGGUCAUCUCUAGCGUCGUCAUCUUCUCCUCUUCCUAUGUUCCACCAUCAUUACCUCCGACCACUAUACACAGAUAGAGCCUGUUAUCCACUUCAGUGGGUCGAAGCCAAAGAAAGGAGCUUCUUCCUGAGCUUUCGUGAUUGUUUGUGUUACAACGCUUGAUAUAUUUUUUUUACCUUUUUUCACUUUGUUUACUUCUCUUUCAUUUAGACAAGUAACCGUAAUUGUAAAGACAUAAUGAUGAUUGGUUUCUGGAUAACUCAAGCCUUAAACUCUUUAUGCUUUUGAGGUAGAUUAACAUAUACACAACUUUGAAAUAAGGUGCAUCUGAGUUGUAAUUUCGCCUAAAUUUGAUUAAUGUUUACUAAGUUUUUUGUUAAACAAAAUAAAAUAAAUAGUUAGUUCAUAUU